UUGUGAUCAGUGAUGCGUUUCCAGGGGACGUUCUUUGAGGGGACACAUUACACUUUGAGGAAGUAGUGUCUUGUUCAGUGUUCACGGUUUAUAUUGCUGAAGGACAAUUACAAGUCUAAACGGAGAAGAGUCGUCAUUUCAAGGUGUUUUCGCGGACGUAUCGGCAUGUGGAUGUUGACAGUGUCGGAAGUAUUAAUCAAAGUUGACAAGAGAAGUUGGAGCGAUGCGAGAAGAGCAUGCGAUGAGCUGCCUGCCUGCUGCUGUCUACUGCCUACUCCUGCUGCUGCCGCUGCUGCUGUUGCAUCCAAUUGUUGGCUCAUGACAGAUUUAUUUGAUAAGUGGAAGUGCCCGCUGAUGCAGACCCAGUGUAAGUAUACAUGCUGGCAUUGUUUUUGUGACAUUUAAUCUCAUCUAAAUCAUCAUGUUUUUGAACAGUGUUGGGUAGCCAGCCACCCAUGCAUGUUGACACAGCCAGCAGCGGGCACCCAUGGCACAUGGGGAUGGACCCAGGAGUGGAGGAUGACCCAAUAGGAUGAACGUUCAGCCCACUCACUGUUGACACCAGUGACACAGUAUUGACCAGAUCUCCUGGAAGUGCCCCCUGACGCAGACCCAGUUGUUGGGUAGCCACCCAUGCACGUUGACACAGCCAGCACCGAGCACCCAGGGGGAUGGAACCAGGAAUGGAGGAUGGUCCAAUAGGGUGAGUUGCUGAGCCAAUGUCAGAAACAUGUAGACUAUACCCUACCCUCAUAUGUAAACCUUCGCUAGUCUGUUUCUCCCUUAAUAUUGGUGUCAGAUUCGCACAAAUGCAGUUCUGGGGUGCUACCUUGCUACUAAUCAGGCACAGCAAGUAUGAUUUGAAAUCCGUGUCGGUCAGUGUUAAUUUUGAGAGGAAUUUUUAAUUUAGUUUUAGUCUCUUGACGAAAAUGCAAUUUUAGUUUUAGUCACAAUUUAGUCAUCUAAAUCAUUUUUGUCUUAGUCUAGUUUUAGCUGACUAAAAUUCAUACAAUUUUAGUCGAUGAAAUCUA